CCUACGGGUGGCAGCAGUGGGGAAUAUUGCACAAUGGGGGAAACCCUGAUGCAGCGACGCCGCGUGAGUGAAGAAGUAUUUCGGUACGUAAAGCUCUAUCAACAGGGAAGAAAAAAAGUCCUUUGGACUUUGGACGGUACCUGACCAAGAAGCCCCGGCUAACUACGUGCCAGCAGCCGCGGUAAAACGUAGGGGGCAAGCGUUAUCCGGAGUUACUGGGGGUAAAAGGAGGGUCGACGGCAGGGCAAGUCUGGCGUGAAAUGGCGGGGCCGAACCCCGUGACUGCUUGGGAAACUGUGCAGCUGGAGUGCAGGAGAGGUAAGCGGAAUUCCUAGUGUAGCGGUGAAAUGCGUAGAUAUUAGGAGGAACACCAGUGGCGAAGGCGGCUUACUGGACUGUAACUGACGUUGAGGCUCGAAAGCGUGGGGAGCAAACAGGAUUAGAUACCCGGGUAGUC
rnacentral:rRNA from 1 species